rnacentral:rRNA from 1 species
AGGGGUAUAAGGAGCUUGCUCCUUAGAGACCGGCGCACGGGUGCGUAACGCGUAUGCAAUCUACCUUUUACAGGGGAAUAGCCCAGAGAAAUUUGGAUUAAUGCCCCAUAGUAUAUUUGAAUGGCAUCAUUUGAUUAUUAAAGUCACAACGGUAAAAGAUGAGCAUGCGUCCCAUUAGUUAGUUGGUAAGGUAACGGCUUACCAAGACGAUGAUGGGUAGGGGUCCUGAGAGGGAGAUCCCCCACACUGGUACUGAGACACGGACCAGACUCCUACGGGAGGCAGCAGUGAGGAAUAUUGGUCAAUGGGCGCAAGCCUGAACCAGCCAUGCCGCGUGCAGGAUGACGGUCCUAUGGAUUGUAAACUGCUUUUAUACAGGAAGAAACACUCCCUCGUGAGGGAGCUUGACGGUACUGUAGGAAUAAGGAUCGGCUAACUCCGUGCCAGCAGCCGCGGUAAUACGGAGGAUCCAAGCGUUAUCCGGAAUCAUUGGGUUUAAAGGGUCCGUAGGCGGCCCAGUAAGUCAGUGGUGAAAUCUCCCGGCUCAACCGGGAAAUUGCCAUUGAUACUGCUGGGCUUGAAUUAU